rnacentral:rRNA from 1 species
UACGGAGGAUCCAAGCGUUAUCCGGAAUCAUUGGGUUUAAAGGGUCCGUAGGCGGUUUAGUAAGUCAGUGGUGGAAGCCCAUCGCUCAACGGUGGAACGGCCAUUGAUACUGCUAGACUUGAAUUAUUAGGAAGUAACUAGAAUAUGUAGUGUAGCGGUGAAAUGCUUAGAGAUUACAUGGAAUACCAAUUGCGAAGGCAGGUUACUACUAAUGGAUUGACGCUGAUGGACGAAAGCGUGGGUAGCGAACAGG